GGGGCAUGCUUGUCAUUGGUGAUGACAAAACACACUAUCUGGCCCCGCCCCCUUUUUAGUGGGCCACUGUAAUUAAAAAAUGCCCGGGCUGAAUUUUCUUCCCAGUCCGGCCCUGCUCCCGCUGUAUUCCCGGCCAAUGCGUGUGUGAGAUGUGUCAGGUUCCCGGCGCCCCUGUUGCUAUGGCACCCUGUGCAGCUUCACAGCUCACACAACUCCAAG